GUUCAAAUGAGGAAGGGAUUACGGUGGAUACCUAGGCACCCAGAGAUGAGGAAGGGUGUGGUAAGCGGAGAAAUGCUUCAGGGAGUUGAAAAUGAGCAUAGAUCCGGAGAUUCACGAAUAGGUUAAUGUUUUUACCUGCUACUGAAGACAUGGGCAAGAAAGAGACACCAUGGCAAACUGAAACAUAUUAGUAGCCAGAGGAAGAGAAAGCAAAAGCGAUUCCCGUAGUAGCGGCGAGAAAAAUGGGAGAAGCCUAAAUCGUGAAAAUGGGGUUGUGGGAGAGCACAUUAUAAGCUCUGCUCUGUGCUUCUAGGUGAAGUGGUUGAGUCCUACACCCUAGAUGGUGAGAGUCCAGUAGCCAAAAGCAUCAUUGGGUUACACUCUAACCCGAGUAGCAUGGGGCACAUGGAAUCCCGUGUGAAUCAAUAAGGACCACCUUGCAAGGCUAAAUACUCCUGGGUGACCGAUAGUGAAGUAGUACCAUGAGGGAAAGGUGAAAAGAACCCCCAUCAGGGAGUGAAAUAGAACAUGAAAUCGUAAUCUCCCAAGCAGUGGGAGGAAAAUGAUAUCUCUGACCGCGUGCCUAUUGAAGAAUGAGCCGACGACUUAUAGGCAACGGCUUGGUUAAGGGAACCCACCGAAGCCGUAGCGAGAGUGAGUCUUCAUGGGGCAAUUGCCACUACUUAUGGACCUGAACCUGGGUGAUCUAUCCAUGACCAGGAUGAAGCUUGGGUGAAACUAAGUGGUGGUCCAAACCAAUUGUGUUGAAAAAUCAGUGAUGAGUCAUGGUUAGGGGUGAAAUUCCACUCGAACCCAGAGCUAGCUGGUUCUCCCUGAAAUGCGUUGAGGCGCAGCAGUUGACUGGACCAUCUAGGGGUAAAGCAUUGUUUCGGUACGGGCCGCGAGAGUGGUACCAAAUCAAGGCAAACUCUGAAUACUAGAUUUCCCCAAUAAAAGGGGUAAAGGUCAGCUAUUGAGACGAUGGGGGAUAAGCUUCAUCGUCGAGAGGGAAACAACCUAGAUCAUCAGCUAAGGCCCCUAAAUGACCGCUCAAUGAUGAAGGAAGUACGAUUGCAAAGACAACGAGGAGGUUUGCCUAGAAGUAGCCAACCUUGAAAGAGUGCGUAAUAGCUCACUGAUCGAGCGCUCUUGUGCUGAAGAUGAACGGGACUGAGCGAUCUGCCGAAGUUGUGGGAUGUAAAAAUACAUCAGUAGGGGAGCGUUCCGCCUUAGAGGGAAGCACCAGCGCGAGCAGGCGUGGACGAAGCGGAAGAGAGAAUGUCGGCUUGAGUAACGCAAACAUUGGUGAGAAUAUAAUGCCCCAAAAACCUAAGGGUUCCUCCACAAGGUUCAUCCACGGAGGGUGAGUCAGGGCCUAAGAUCAGGCAGAAAGGCAUAGUCGAUGGACAACAAGUUAAUAUUCCUGUACUACCCCUUUUUGGUCCCGAGGGAAGGAGGAGGCUAGGUUAGCCGAAAUAUGGUUAUCGGUUCAAGGACGCAAGGUGACCCUCUAUAAAUUGAUUCAAAGGUAAAAGAAGAAUCAAAUAUAGGUGUGUACAAGGUGAGGUUGGGGGUGGAUAUUCCUCAUCAUCUACUCUAGCACACAAAAAUCCAAGAUGGCUUAUCCAAACAUUAUAGGAUGCACAAAAUCAUGUAGGAGCGGCCAUAUCAUCAAUGAGGGUGAGUAUACCUCCUAGGAGAUAUGUUAACCAUAUUGUAUUAGAUUCUUCCAUUUGUGAUAUUUACAAUUGUUUUGAGGAGGUGAUGUGUGAUACUUUGUUGGAUGAGUGUGAUGUUUGGGGGGUAGUUCCUUUCUGGGAGCCAGUGGUUGAUUUCGAGAUUGCAACGUGUUCAAAUUUGCAGAAGGAAAGUUUGUUUGAGUUGCAAAGGGAGCAAAAUGAUGUUGGUGAAAACACUUUCCUCAUAAAGAGGGUG
rnacentral:rRNA from 1 species